CUGGCUCAGGAUGAACGCUAGCUACAGGCUUAACACAUGCAAGUCGAGGGGCAGCAUGAUCUUAGCUUGCUAAGAUGAUGGCGACCGGCGCACGGGUGAGUAACGCGUAUCCAACCUUCCCUGUACUAGGGGAUAGCCCGGCGAAAGUCGGAUUAAUACCCUAUGUUUUCCGAAGCGAGCAUUUAAUUUGGAACAAAGGUUUACCGGUAUAGGAUGGGGAUGCGUCUGAUUAGAUAGUAGGCGGGGUAACGGCCCACCUAGUCGACGAUCAGUAGGGGUUCUGAGAGGAAGGUCCCCCACAUUGGAACUGAGACACGGUCCAAACUCCUACGGGAGGCAGCAGUGAGGAAUAUUGGUCAAUGGGCGAGAGCCUGAACCAGCCAAGUAGCGUGCAGGAUGACGGCCCUAUGGGUUGUAAACUGCUUUUAUAUAGGGAUAAAGUGAGGGACGUGUCCCUUAUUGUAGGUACUAUAUGAAUAAGGACCGGCUAAUUCCGUGCCAGCCGCCGC
rnacentral:rRNA from 1 species